GUCCAAGGCCACAGCAAGCCACACUUGCUGUUCCUUUCCAAAAUCAGAAACUAAGGGGCAUCCAGCCCACAGAGGACCUGAAUGGGAGCCCACCUGAGAAUACUGGGUGCUGUCGGCU
rnacentral:rRNA from 1 species